rnacentral:rRNA from 1 species
CCUACGGGAGGCUGCAGUAGGGAAUAUUGCUCAAUGGGGGAAACCCUGAAGCAGCAACGCCGCGUGGAUGAUGAAGGUUUUCGGAUUGUAAACUCCUGUUGUUAGAGAAGAUAAUGACGGUAUCUAACGAAUAAGCACCGGCUAACUCCGUGCCAGCAGCCGCGGUAAUACGGAGGGUGCACGCGUUACUCGGAAGCACUGGGCGGAAAGAGCGCGGAGGCGGGAUAGCAAGUCAGAUGUGAAAGCCUAUGGCUUAACCAUAGAACUGCAUUUGAAACUGUUAUUCUAGAGUAUGGGAGAGGUAGGUGGAAUUCUUGGUGUAGGGGUAAAAUCCGUAGAGAUCAGGAGGAAUACUCGUUGCGAAGGCGACCUGCUAGAACAUAACUGACGCUGAUGCGCGAAAGCGUGGGUAGCAAACAGGAUUAGAUACCCCGGUAGUC